AAAGGCCUACCAAGGCGACGAUCCGUAACUGGUCUGAGAGGAUGAUCAGUCACACUGGAACUGAGACACGGUCCAGACUCCUACGGGAGGCAGCAGUGUGGAAUAUUGGACAAUGUGCGAAAGCCUGAUCCAGCCAUGCCGCGUGUGUGAAGAAGGUCUUCGGCUUGUAAAGCACUUUAAGUUGGGAGGAAGGGCAGUAAGUUAAUACCUUGCUGUUUUGACGUUACCAACAGAAUAAGCACCGGCUAACUUCGUGCCAGCAGCCGCGGUAAUACGAAGGG
rnacentral:rRNA from 1 species